AACAUCCAUGGGAACAAUGAAGUCCUGCGCACUUCUUGUGCUCUUGGUGCUCUUUGCCACUUUUGCUAUAGAAGAUACAUCCGGGCAAUGUAGAACAAAUACGUACUUCUGCUGUGGUCACUUGUGUUGUGCCGAAAACAAUUAUUACAGGUGCCUUGGAGGCCCACCCAACUGCCACUGUCCGAUAAUUGAUUAGAUCACAUAAGAUGACCCUUCCAUCGAGGGUAAGCAUGACCAGUUGAAACUAAAGAAGAAAACAGAAAACUAGUCACUCAGCUCAAUGUAAUCUUAUAGUUGAUGUAAAACUGCUGUAUUUGGAUAUUUUUGUGAAUUUUGAGUUCAACAGUUAGUGGUCAUAAUAAAG